AUAUUUACUUUUAUAUAUUAUCAUUUUACUUACCAUUUUAUAUAGUAAUUUAAAUAUUUCUAUUUUAAUUUUAAUAUAAACGGCUUCCCCCGUAAAUCGCGGGGGUCCAAAUCCUAGUAGAUUUAACAGAAAUUGGAGUCCCAUUUCCGACAAAGGAAAAUGGAUGCAAAGUAGUAUUCACCACUCGUUCCAGCGAAGUAUGUGGCCGCAUGGGGGUUGAUGAUCCAAUGGAAGUCCAAUGUCUAACAGACAAUGAAGCGUGGCAUUUGUUCGAAAAAAAAGUCGGAACACUCACGUUAAAAAGCCACCCACGCAUUCCUGAACAAGCAAGAAAAGUUGCCGGAAAAUGUCGUGGCCUACCGUUAGCUCUCAACGUCAUUGGCGAGACCAUGUCAAGCAAGAGAACUAUACAAGAAUGGCAGCUUGCAAUUCAGGUUUUGAACUCGUAUGCUGCAGAUUUCUGUGGCAUGGUUGACCAAAUCCUUCCUAUUCUAAAGUACAGCUUUGACAAUUUGAAGGGUGACCGGAUCAAAUCAUGCUUCCUAUAUUGCUCUCUUUUUCCUGAAGAUUAUUUGAAUAGAAAAAGAGAAGUUGAUAGACUACUGGAUAUGCGAGGGAUUCAUAAGUGAAAAUGAAGAUAGAGAAGGAACAGUAAACCAAGGUUAUGAUAUAAUUGGUAUCCUUGUCCGUGCAUGCUUGCUGCUGGAGGAAGGAAGUAACAAAUCAAAGGUGAAAAUGCAUGAUGUGGUUCGUGAGAUGGCUCUAUGGAUAUCUUCUGACCUUGGAGAUAAUAGAGAAAAGUGUAUCGUGAGAGCCGGUGUUGGGUUAUGUGAGGUACCGGAAGUCGAGAAGUGGAGUGCGGUGGAGAGGAUGUCAUUGAUGAAUAAUAAGGUUGAAAAGAUAUCUGGUAGUCCAAACUGUCCCAAACUAACAACUCUAUUCCUCCAAGAAAACAGGCGAUUGGGAAGUAUCUCUGGUGAAUUCUUUAUGUGCAUGCCAAAAGUAGUUGUUUUGGAUCUAUCACACUUGCCUCUUUGUGGAUUGCCGGAGGAAAUAUCAGAGUUAGUCUCCCUAAAAUAUCUUGAUUUGUCAAGAUUAGGCCUGCGACUUCGGUUUUCCGAAACCGAACCGAACCGUCGGUUUUCUGUUAACCAAAGUUUUUAAAAACAAUUCCGAAAUAAACCGAAUGAAAUUUCGGUUCGGUUCGGUUCAGUUAUCGGUUUAUUUCGGUUUUUAAUUUUAUUUCCGAAAAUAACCGAAUUUUUAAAUUUUCGGUUAAUUUUGGUAUAAUUUUUCCAAAAUAUUUGGAUAUUUUCGGUAAAUUCGGUUAUUUUUGGGUUAUUCGGUUAUUUUCGGUUCGGGUUUUCGGUUAUUUUCGGAUAUUUUUGGUUAUUUUCGGUUUUUAAAUUUUUUUUUUUUGAAAAUCAUAAACCGAACCGAAAACCGAAUUAAUUUUCAAAACCAUACCGAAUUGAACCGAAUUGAAAACCGAACCGAAAACCGAAAAAACUGGUUCGGUCCGGUUCGGCCCAUUCGGUUCGUACAAAAAUCCCAGGCCUAGUAGUCAAGAUCAAUGAUCUUUCGACUACCUGUUGGUCUCUGGAAAUUGAAAAAUCUAAUACAUUGAGGGUAUGAAUAUUCGGAGAAUCCAUGGAAUAUCUAAGUUGUCGACUUUAAGAACAUUAAAAUUACUGGGUUGCAAACAACUUAAGUUUGCCGAAAGCUGGAAGGAGUUGCUUCUCUUGAAAGAUUUAGAAGUUCUAACCAUUGAAAUCGAGUCGGAACUGGUUUUGGAGAAACUGUUUUUCUCGCACAUGGGGAGGAGAUGUAUUCAAAAGGUAGUUAUCAUAGGCAUUCCGGAAAUAUCAGUAAAAGGUCUUUGCUGAUAUUUGACGUGGUUGUUGUUCGCUCCAAACCUUAUACAUCUAAGUCUGACGAAUUUAGGCCAACUAGAAGAAGUAGUGAGCAGAGAGAAAGCUGAUGAGUUGCAGGUACAGGAUAUUAUUCCUUUUGGAAAUCUAGAAACUCUAGCGAUGCUGAACUUGCCUGCGGUGAAGAGCAUCUACUGGGCUCCCCUGCCAUUUCCAUGUCUGAGGGAAAUGACCAUAGACCGAUGUCCGUCACUAGCAAAGCUUCCGCUAGAUUCCAAAAGCGUAGCUGAAGUUGAAAGAUUUGUCAUAAAAUGUGAAGCGGCAGACUGGAUAGAAAGGAUUGAAUGGGAGGACAAAGCCACGAGACUCCGUUUCCUGCCUUCACGGAGAAAGAUGAUGACGUACUACGAAUAAGGCAACCCAGUGAGGCAAGUUGGUUUCCAAUAAACCAUCAUACCGAAUAUGUGUCUCAGUAGAGUCUUACUCUGCUUUUUCUACUGUUUUGUGUCCGUCAUAGUACACUCCUGAAAACCAUCAGACGUGUUUCAGACAGUUACUCUCCUUUUUUUUUUUUUGCUUCCUCUAUGUCAGUUGAUUUGUAUCGAAACUUCUCGUUUCUGCAAACGUUGUGGUUGUGUUUUGGAGUGUGUGUGUGUAUGUUCAUUGUAAUGUAUUUGUUUAAUCUAUAAUACAUAGCUAUGAUACUUCAAGUGGGAAGCAAAUGAAAUGUCUCGUUAUCCA